GACUCUGGUAUUGAUUGGUGCUUGCAUCAUGAUUUACAUUUGAGUGAGUGGCGAACUGGUGAGUAACACGUGGGAAACCUGCCCAGAAGCGGGGGAUAACACCUGGAAACAGAUGCUAAUACCGCAUAACAACUUGGACCGCAUGGUCCGAGUUUGAAAGAUGGCUUCGGCUAUCACUUUUGGAUGGUCCCGCGGCGUAUUAACUAGAUGGUGGGGUAACGGCUCACCAUGGCAAUGAUACGUAGCCGACCUGAGAGGGUAAUCGGCCACAUUGGGACUGAGACACGGCCCAAACUCCUACGGGAGGCAGCAGUAGGGAAUCUUCCACAAUGGACGAAAGUCUGAUGGAGCAACGCCGCGUGAGUGAAGAAGGGUUUCGGCUCGUAAAACUCUGUUGUUAAAGAAGAACAUAUCUGAGAGUAACUGUUCAGGUAUUGACGGUAUUUAACCAGAAAGCCACGGCUAACUACGUGCCAACAUCCGCGGUAAUACGUAGUGGCAAGCGUUGUCCGGAUUUAUUGGGCGUAAAGCGAGCGCAAGCGGUUUUUUAAGUCUGAUGUGAAAGCCUUCGGCUCAACCGAAGAAGUGCAUCGGAACUGGGAAACUUGA
rnacentral:rRNA from 2 species